AGGACGAACGCUGGCGGCGUGCUUAACACAUGCAAGUCGAGCGGAAAGGCCCUUCGGGGUACUCGAGCGGCGAACGGGUGAGUAACACGUGAGCAACCUGCCCUUAGCUCCGGGAUAGCUCCGGGAAACCGGAAUUAAUACCGGAUAUGACCUAGGCCGACAUCGGCUGUGGUGGAAAGUUUUUCGGCUGGGGAUGGACUCGCGGCCUAUCAGCUUGUUGGUAGGGUAACGGCCUACCAAGGCGACAAUCCGUAGCUGGUCUGAGAGGACGACCAGCCACACUGGGACUGAGACACGGCCCAGACUCCUACGGGAGGCAGCAGUGGGGAAUAUUGGACAAUGGGGGAAACCCUGAUCCAGCGACGCCGCGUGUGUGAAGAAGGCCUGCGGGUUGUAAAGCACUUUAGUGGGAUGAAAGCCUAGGGUUAACACCUCUGGUCUUGACCUAACCCACAGAAAAGCACCGGCUAACUCUGUGCCAGCAGCCGC
rnacentral:rRNA from 1 species